GCCUUUCCCAUUGACCACCAUGUUUGAGUUAUUUCCCAGCCUUACAGAAUCAGUGAAUUCUUCAUCAAAAUCAGAGAAACUCUCUUUUUUCACACAUGUGAUUGUUGCAUCCAGAAUCAAGAAACUACAUGUCAGUAUUGUGUUGAUUCUUUUCUUCAACAUAGGCCAUUAGCAACAUGUGUUCUUCACCCUCUACUCGACUUUCA
rnacentral:lncRNA from 1 species